GCCCGGAUGGCGGAAUUGGUAGACGCGCUGGACUUAAAAUCCUGUAACCUUUGCGGUUGUGCGGGUUCAAUUCCCGCUCCGGGUA
rnacentral:tRNA from 1 species